rnacentral:rRNA from 1 species
GACGAACGCUGGCGGCAUGCUUAACACAUGCAAGUCGAACGCAGUACUAGAGCUUGCUCUAGUAGCUGAGUGGCAGACGGGUGAGUAACACGUGGGAACUUACCCUCUAGACUGGGACAACCACUGGAAACGGUGGCUAAUACCGGAUAAGCCCUGAAGGGGAAAGCAGAAAUGCGCUAGAGGAGAGGCCCGCGGCAGAUUAGGUAGUUGGUGGGGUAAAGGCCUACCAAGCCGAUGAUCUGUAGCUGGUUUGAGAUGAUGAUCAGCCACACUGGAACUGAGACACGGUCCAGACUCCUACGGGAGGCAGCAGUGGGGAAUAUUGGACAAUGGGCGCAAGCCUGAUCCAGCCAUGCCGCGUGAGUGACGAAGGCCUUAGGGUUGUAAAGCUCUUUUGCAGGGGAAGAUAAUGACGGUACCCUGAGAAUAAGUUCCGGCUAACUUCGUGCCAGCCGCCGUAAGAC